CUUUACACAGCUCAGUCUGUGUUUGUGUAGGGGUCGGGGAUGCAAUGUCUGUGUAGUGGAUGCAGUGUGUAGUGAAUGUAGUGUCUGUGUAGUGAAUGCAGUGUCGGUGUAGUGGAUGCAGUGUGUGUAGUUAAUGCAGAGUGUGUGUAUAUUAAAUGCAGUGUGUAUUUGUGUAGUGGGUGCAGUGUAUGUAGUCUGUGUUUGUGUAGUGGAUGCGAUGCAGCGUGUAGUGAAUGUAGUGUCUGUGUAGUGAAUGUAGUGUUUAUGUAGUGAAUGCAGUAUCUGUGUUUGUGUAGUGAAUGCAGUGUCUAUG